GCCCGAAUAGCUCAGCCGGUUAGAGCACUUGACUGUUAAUCAGGGGGUCGUUGGUUCGAGUCCAACUUCGGGCGCCA
rnacentral:tRNA from 654 species